CUCGCGAUCCAGUUCUGUGUCCAGCACCAGCUCUGGAAUAGCGACGGGGUUCCCAGCCUGCCAGAGUCACUUCCAGUAAAAGAAGGAGAAUCAGGACUUGCCUUUGUUCGGGAAAGCGCUCCCCUGCAGGCUCCAUCUUUACUUCUGUACACGCCCCUUUCAAGGAACCGGAGUCAGAGCUACUUCAGGGAGCGAUGGGACAGAGGCAGUGAUCGAUCUGUGCGUUGAUAACCUGUUCGGAAAUGUAGGAGAAUAGCAUUCUCCGGAGACACUGGUCCGUGCUCUGCUAACAGGCUUUCCUCUUAGGCUGAAAGAGGUCUGAAGUAGCUAGUAGCAUUUCAUGGGCUUUUUCCUUUUCCUUUUUUUGAAGCCUUAGCCUGCAGCGCCACCAUGCGUUGUCUUUGCUUCGAAACGAAUUGCUACAAUUGAUCUAUUCUCUAUUCUAUUAGGAGUUUGGAAAUUGGGAGGAAAUGAUGUAAUCACAAUAUCACGCAAUGGUAAUUAUUAAUUUCUUCAUUUAAAGGAGUAUUAUUGGUCUCUAUGUGCCAAAUUAUGAAAUACAUCAGUAAACAACCCAGACAUGGUCCCCACCCUCCAGAGCCUGUAGUCUGGGUGUAGUGUUCUGAGGGAAAUUGAGAAGUGAAAGAAGACAUAAUAGUGAUCAGUCAUCUUGUAAUAAUAAUAACAUAAAGCCACGUGAUUUCUUAAAAAUUUAUCAGCAAAACAAAAUGAAUUCUUUAAUUUCUUUCAAAUUCUAGACAGCCUAUGUACCAGAAUUGUGCUCCCAUUGGUUGGAUUACAUCAAGAAAAAGCUACACGUUAAUUCCAGUGUGGUAUCCUUUCUACAUAAAGUCAGAGAGUUAUGAUUUUAUGAAAAUUUUAAACUGUGGAAAAAUACAUAUGAAGGCACUUCCUAUAUCUCUUACUUUGCUUUUUCUUUUUUUUCUUUUCAUUUUUCCUUUUUUUUUUUUUGAGAUGGGGUCUUGCUCUGUUGUCCAGGAGGGAGUGCAGUGGCACAAUCACUGCUCAUUGCAGCCUUGACUACCCAGGCUCAAGCAAUCCCCCCACCUCAGCAACUGUAGCUGGGACCACAGUUGCGCAUCACCAUGCCUGGCUAAUGUUUUAAUUAUUUGUAAAGAUGAGGUCUUGCUAUGUUGCCCGGGCUGGUCUCAAAUUUCCGAGCUCAAGCAAUCCUCCUGCCUCAGCCUCCCAAAGUGCUGGGGUUAUAGGCAUGAGCUGCUGUACCCAGCCCUGCCUUGUCUCUCUCGUAUUUAUUAUCUGACGUAGUAUAGAUGUACUUAUUUAGUUGUUUCCUUUCUGUUUCAACCUCACAUGUUAGAACUUCAUUUUGUUCACUGCUGCAUCCCCAAUAUCUAAAAUAAUCCCUGGCACAUGGUACGUGCUCAAUAAAUAUUUGUUAAAUGGAUCCAUUAAUAAAUCACAAUUAAUUUAAACAUUCUGACAGAUAGGUUCUCCUCCUACUGUAGAAAUUCCCUCUUCUUCUGGGAUUCAAGUUCAUUAUAUAAGAUGGAUAAACAAAGACAACAUGUUCAUAAGGUAGCUAUUUCCUAUGCCCUUUAAAU
rnacentral:lncRNA from 1 species